rnacentral:RNase_P_RNA from 1 species
AUGGGAAGCGAGUGCGGACCGCGGCCGUCCGUGCGGCGGCUGAGGAAAGUCCGAGCUCCACAGGGCAGGGUGCCGGGUAACACCCGGGCGCGGCAACGCGACGGAAAGUGCCACAGAGAACAGACCGCCGAUGGCCCCGUAUGGGGAUCAGGCAAGGGUGAAACGGUGGGGUAAGAGCCCACCGCGCUUCCCGGUAACGGGGGCGGCACGGUAAACCCCACCCGGAGCAAGGCCAAGCAGGGACGAUGGCGUGGCCCGCGCCGCUGCGACCACCAGGUCGCGGGAGUCCCGGGUAGGCCGCUUGAGGCGGCGGGAGACCGCCGUCCCAGAUAGAUGGUCCGCCUCCUCCGCGCUGGACGCGUCGGCGCGAGCCGGCGUCGCCUGGCGAGGCAGGAGACAGAACUCGGCUUAUUCGCUUCCCAUCGCA